GACGAACCGUGCGAACGUUAUUCGGAAUCACUGGGCUUAAAGCGCGUGUAGGCGGCCCGGUACGUCCGCUGUGAAAGUCCAGGGCUCAACCCUGGGAUGGCGGUGGAUACUGUCGGGCUCGAGUCCGGAAGAGGCGAGUGGAAUUCCUGGUGUAGCGGUGAAAUGCGCAGAUAUCAGGAGGAACACCGGUGGCGAAGGCGGUUCUCUGGGCCUGACCUGACGCUGAGGAGCGAAAGCAUGGGGAGCAAACAGG
rnacentral:rRNA from 1 species